GUUUAACAUCUUUCUAAAUAUCAUGCCUUCUCUUUCAUACAUACGAGAAACGAUAGAGAUAACAUGAUAUAU